ensembl:processed_transcript
UUUCAGUCUCUGAUGUUUCUGAUCCGGGACUGGAGUUACCCGUAUGAGCAUCCUUACGGUCUGGAGGGAGGAAACCAGUUCCUGGAGAAGCGUCUGCAGGUAACGCAGAAUCAGCACGAGGAGCUGCAGAGCGUCAGGAAACACAUCCACUCCUGCUUCUCCAGCAUCAGCUGCUUCCUGCUGCCGCACCCGGGGCUCAGAGUGGCCACUAACCCACGCUUCGAUGGACGCUUACGGG